GACGAACGCUGGCGGCGUGCUUAACACAUGCAAGUCGAACGGAGCGAAUGAAAGCUUGCUUUUAUGAGCUUAGUGGCAAACGGGUGAGUAACACGUAGGCAACCUGCCGACAGGAUGGGGACAACAUUCCGAAAGGAAUGCUAAUACCGAAUGAAGUCAGAGAAGGGCAUCCUUUUCUGAUGAAAGAUGGCCUCUAUUUAUAAGCUAUCACCUGUCGAUGGGCCUGCGUCUGAUUAGCUAGUUGGUGAGGUAACGGCUCACCAAGGCGACGAUCAGUAGCCGGUCUGAGAGGAUGAACGGCCACAUUGGGACUGAGACACGGCCCAGACUCCUACGGGAGGCAGCAGUGGGGAAUCUUCCGCAAUGGGCGCAAGCCUGACGGAGCAACGCCGCGUGAGUGAAGAAGGUCUUCGGAUCGUAAAGCUCUGUUGAUGGGGACGAACGUACGGAGUGCGAAUAGUGCUCUGUAAGGACGGGCCUAUCGAGAAGCC
rnacentral:rRNA from 1 species